GUUCACUGGAGCUCUUCAAAAUAACUGCCAGGUCUCUUCGACCUCUAAACUUUUGGAAAGUGCAUCCAAAAGUGUAUUCUUCAUCCCUGAGAAACCAUACCAUACAGAAAGAAACAGGAAGAACAGAAAGACUAAUAUAUAGCCACCAGACCUCCAGGACUAUCUUUACUACUGGAAACCCCCAGGUGCUUUUUCUCUUAAUUAAAAAAAAAUUAAAUGUAGAAAAGUUUUGACAGUUGUUUUAUGACAUUUUGUGAUUCA